rnacentral:rRNA from 1 species
GUGCCAGCCGCCGCGGUAAUACGUAGGGUGCGAGCGUUGUCCGGAAUUACUGGGCGUAAAGAGCUCGUAGGCGGUUUGUCGCGUCGUCUGUGAAAUUCUGCAACUCAAUUGCAGGCGUGCAGGCGAUACGGGCAGACUUGAGUACUACAGGGGAGACUGGAAUUCCUGGUGUAGCGGUGAAAUGCGCAGAUAUCAGGAGGAACACCGGUGGCGAAGGCGGGUCUCUGGGUAGUAACUGACGCUGAGGAGCGAAAGCGUGGGGAGCAAACAGGAUUAGAUACCCUGGUAGUCCACGCCGUAAACGGUGGGUACUAGGUGUGGGGUCCAUUUCACGGAUUCCGUGCCGUAGCUAACGCAUUAAGUACCCCGCCUGGGGAGUACGGCCGCAAGGCUAAAACUCAAAUAAAUUGACGG